AUUAAACGCUGGCGGCAUGCCUUACACAUGCAAGUCGAACGGCAGCACGGGGGCAACCCUGGUGGCGAGUGGCGGACGGGUGAGUAAAGCAUCGGAACGUAUCCUGGAGUGGGGGAUAACGUAGCGAAAGUUACGCUAAUACCGCAUAUUCUGUGAGCAGGAAAGCAGGGGAUCGCAAGACCUUGCGCUCUGGGAGCGGCCGAUGUCGGAUUAGCUAGUUGGUGGGGUAAAGGCCUACCAAGGCGACGAUCCGUAGCGGGUCUGAGAGGAUGAUCCGCCACACUGGGACUGAGACACGGCCCAGACUCCUACGGGAGGCAGCAGUGGGGAAUUUUGGACAAUGGGCGCAAGCCUGAUCCAGCCAUGCCGCGUGAGUGAAGAAGGCCUCGGUGUAAG
rnacentral:rRNA from 1 species